CGGACGAUUUUAGUCAAAAUUUUCAAUAAUAAGCCCAAAUUAAUGGCCAUCAAGAACACAAAAACUGCGAUCACAUAACCAAUUAUAACAAAUAUCUCAAAUCCAAUUUCUACAUAUUAUUAUAGCAACCAACACUGUUAAAUUCCUUGGAAAUGUGCUUAGUUAUGCCCGAUUUGUCCGCCUACCGACCUGAAGGGCAAGGUCGAUGUCGAUCUUGAGGGAGAUAUCGAGCGCCUUCACAGAAUGCGUCAACGCCCCACUCGAAAUGUAAGUUACUCCAGUUCCUCCGAUUUUCUUCACUGUUUCGAGGGUCACAUUUCCAGAUGCCUCGGUUUCAAAUCUUCCGUUUAUCAGCUCAACUGCUUUCUUAAGCAUG
rnacentral:misc_RNA from 1 species